GGACGUGAAUGAGUGCGUAAUAAAUCCGUCCAAGGAAGUGCACAAGUGAAGUGUAAAGGAGGGCCUAAACACACCAAAAUCAGCCCACUUCUUGCACUUGAUGGGCACCUCACCCUUGAGAGGUAUUAUGGACAUUUCACACUAUUUUUGUAAUAUCUAUAAAUAGAACCUUUUAGGGUUUCAUUCAUUAGACUUUGAUGAUAAUGAAUGUUGUAUAACAUUGAAAGACAAG
rnacentral:lncRNA from 1 species